CAUGUCCGUGGGAAGUAUCUUGAAGGUCAUUUGGGUACAGGAAAUUGGGUUGCCUUCAGUUACGUUAAAAGGGAAAUGUGUCAUACAUAUCUGCUUGAGAAGGGUCUUAGGACCCUAGAGAGAAAAGACUACAGACAGAAACAAGAGAAGAAGGUGGGCCGCCCAUGCCAACUGCUCUCCAGCCUUUUGACACCUGCGUGGUAAGCGCAAAGAAACAUCCUAGCUGAGCCUCAACAGACCAGACACGCUUGGCUGCAGCCAGGAGGACCGCAGGCAGCAACCCGUGCAUCCCCCUGCGCAGCGGAAGACUCAGAGCCUGGGUCGCCUCCGCUUUAGAUUCCAGUGAGUUUUCUAACUUUGAGUUGAGGACAUCAUCUAACCUUUCUGAGCCUGAAUGUGACAGCCACUGAGAUACACCAUUCAUACCACACAGCAUUAGUAUUCAUGCAAGAGCUCUGUGUCCCAGCUGUGGGAAGACUAGUGACCAGCUUUUAGCUGAGAGCCUCUCCAGAGAGCUACCAUGCCAAAGUGGGAGGAUUCCAGUUUCAGGGUCUGGUGGAGGCGAGGCAGUUUGUACGGAUCUCCCCAUUCCUGCCAACUCAUUCUAACUUGAGUGGACCAUGCUAGCUGUAGGGCUCCAGCACUGUCCGAUCAGUUCCACCAAACUCUACUCCUCUAUCAAACUCUCUUCUACAGAAGCGGAUCCCAAGGAAACCUAAAAGACAUUUUGCGUGCUACACUCUACCUGGGCUGAGCCUAAUACUCCAUUUCUGCUUGUGUGAAAGGCGUGGCAAUUCUACCAUUGCUAAGCUCUUUUUGAAGUCCAAGAACAAAGCAAGAAAACACCUGGCCGUACUUCGAACCUUACACUUGAAGGGGUACCAUCUUCUUCCAACAAAAGAAGGACAACCACAGCCCGCCUGCCUCCCUUCCUUUCUUACCCCACACCCGAUGGUUUUCUGAACAAUGGCAUCUACACGUCUCUAAGAUGCUGGGUUUUUUUCUAGGGACAAAUGGUCACAGGUGCCCCUUUCCUGAAGCUGCAACUCAAGGCAUUGGGAGCCACAGAGACCUGGUGACUUGUGGAUUCAUUCAGUGGAACUAGGAGAGCCAAAGGUACCCUCAUGGGAAAACACCAAAGCCAGUGGGAUUCCAACCCAAACACACCUUAAAGGAAAAGCUUUUGCUCUAUCUUGGUCACAGAAUAACACAUCUUUAUUUGAGAGACAUAUAUCACUGAAGGAAGGCAUAAAAAACGCCAUUCCCCUGCAUCCGAUCACCUUCUCCUCUGCCGCUGUUAACAGCAGCGACAGUGUUGGGGAUGGGAGGGGUUCCCUGUCACGCCCCCUGUGCGUCUGUACGUAUGGGAUGGGUGGAACCCUGAGUAAGAUAUAGUGGAAAUAAAAUGGGGUCCUGCCACCUCCUCUGAAUAUUCUUCUACAUACUUCAGCUUCCUCGACAAUGUCAGGUUGCCCUAGCAUAUGGAUGUCCCAAGGUGACCUGGCUAAUGCCCAAAGGCUUAGCACAGGAACCAGCUAGCAAGCCAGGUCCCUGACCAGUUUCUCUGUGUACUGGUCACAUGACUUUGGCAAGGAACCUUCCAGGGCCUUACUUAUUUUGAUAUGAUAUACAUAAAAAUUAGAUGUGAUGAUGUGGUGAAAUAAUACAUUACAUUAAGGUUAAUUAGUAAUCACCAGUGCCUAUUAUUACAGAGUAGGGAUUGCAAAUUUGAAGUCUACAGGGGCACUAGCUAGGCAAGGCCUCCAGCUACAUCUAGCAGACAAUGAAAGGGGCAGAACUGACUGCAGAGCACCUGCCACAUUUAAAUUUGCCCACACAGGAAAAAACAAAAAAGUGAACCAAAUUUCCCUGGCUGGCUCCUAACUUCCAGCUGUCAUCUAGGAUCAAGCAUGCUUACCAUGACUGCUCUCAUAGUGCUGAGGCCGAGGGCGGGUUAAUGGCCAAACCCCAAGCUUUCUAAGGAGACUAAGUGUCUCAAGGAAACCCUCACCACUCCCCUUACCUUCCAAGCUCCACUGGUGCCUGUCCUUCCCAAACUUGGCGCCUUCCACGGCCUGAGCCACGGCUUCCUUGAGUUGCUGUUCAGAGACCUGGAAAACAUCCAUGACCAGCUCCAGCAAGAAGUGAGGCAGGCCCGGCAGAUUCCGAAGACUGAACCUGCCAUGCCCGUGCAUGGCUUCCACUUUCCACUCUGCAAGAGCUGACGAACCAGCUUCCGGAAGUGCCCUGAGCAAGACCCUGCCCUCAGGGUCUUCCUGGUGUUGAUCAGUGUCCAUCAAUAAAGGUGUCACCAGUGGUCACCUUGGUUCUCAAACCUUCUCAGCAGGGCAAAACUCCCAGCAUCCACGUGGUGGCUAACAAUUGUUUGUAACUGUAGAAUCAAGGAAUGUGACACCCUCUUUUGGCUACCUUGGGUACUGCAUGAGCACAGUGCACAGACACAAGCAGGCAAACACCCAUACACAUAAAGUAAAAGAGUCAAGUGCGAGUCAAGGAGUGAAGCAGACUUAUACCCCACCCCAGUUUCUUCAUAGACUAGACGCAGACACUGAGACACACAGCUUAACCUUCUAAAUCUCAACUUCUUGUUCUAUAAACUAUAACAAUAAACUCUUUGCAGUAUGGAAA